rnacentral:rRNA from 1 species
GGCUUGUUGAUUAUAAUUUAAAGUUUGACCUGCCCAAUGAGUGAUUAAAUGGCCGCGGUAUAUUGACCGUGCAAAGGUAGCAUAAUCAUUAGUUUUUUAAUUGAAAGCUUGUAUGAAAGGUUUGAUGAGAAAAUUUCUGUCUCUGUGUAAGUUUAUUAGAAUUUUAUUUUUAAGUGAAAAAGCUUAAAUUUUUGUAGAAGACGAGAAGACCCUAUAGAGUUUUAUAUCAAUAUUUAAAUAAAUAUUUUAGGAAAUAAAAAGUUUUAUUUUUUUACGGAUAUUUUGUUGGGGUGACAGAAAAAUUGAUUAAACUUUUUUUAUACAGAGACACUUAUUUGUGGGUUUAUGAUCCUAGAGUUUAGAUUAUAAGAUUAAAUUACCUUAGGGAUAACAGCGUAAUCUUUUUUAGAGUUCUUAUCGAAAGAAAGGAUUGCGACCUCGAUGUUGAAUUAAAAUUUAUUAUUGGUGUAGAAGCUAAUAAAUUAGGUCUGUUCGACCUUUAAAAUUUUACAUGAUUUGAGUUUAAACCGGUGUGAG